rnacentral:rRNA from 1 species
GGCUCCUCGGAGCACGUGCACGCCUCUGGGGUCGCGCCUUCAAUUCGCUUACCCUCCCUUGUGCACUCCAUGUAGGUCGCCCCCCUCGGCGCCUACGAUUUUCGUACACACCCCGAUCGCAUGUAUGUCGUGCAGCUCUUUGUAUAACACAAAAGAAAUACAACUUUCAACAACGGAUCUCUUGGCUCUCGCAUCGAUGAAGAACGCAGCGAAAUGCGAUAAGUAAUGUGAAUUGCAGAAUUCAGUGAAUCAUCGAAUCUUUGAACGCACCUUGCGCUCUUUGGCCAUUCCAAAGAGCAUGCCUGUUUGAGUGUCAUUGAAUCCUCAAGCCCCCCAAUCUUGCCGUUGCGGGGAGCCUUGGACUUUGGGAGUACUGCGGGGCCCCCCCCUCCUUUGGGCGCCCCGCUCUCCUCAAACGCAUCAGUAGGGCCUCAUCCCCACCCUCGGGUCCCUCGUGGCGUUGAUAGUCGUCUACGCCUCGUCCCCCCGUCGGGUUUUGACCCCGCUCCCCAACCAGAGGUUGACCCCUCUCUUUGAACGCUUUGACCUCAAAUCAGGUAGGACUACCCGCUGAACUUAAGCAUAUCAAUAAGCGGAGGAAAAGAAACUAACAAGGAUUCCCCUA